CCUACGGGGGGCAGCAGUGGGGAAUCUUAGACAAUGGGCGCAAGCCUGAUCUAGCCAUGCCGCGUGAUCGAUGAAGGCCUUAGGGUUGUAAAGAUCUUUCAGUGGGGAAGAUAAUGACGGUACCCACAGAAGAAGCCCCGGCUAACUCCGUGCCAGCAGCCGCGGUAAUACGGAGGGGGCUAGCGUUAUUCGGAAUUACUGGGCGUAAAGCGCACGUAGGCGGAUUAACAAGUCAGAGGUGAAAUCCCAGGGCUCAACCUUGGAACUGCCUUUGAAACUGUUUCUCUUGAGGUCGUGAGAGGUGAGUGGAAUUCCGAGUGUAGAGGUGAAAUUCGUAGAUAUUCGGAGGAACACCAGUGGCGAAGGCGGCUCACUGGCACGAUACUGACGCUGAGGUGCGAAAGCGUGGGGAGCAAACAGGAUUAGAUACCCGAGUAGUC
rnacentral:rRNA from 1 species